AUACGGAGGUUGCAAGCGUUAUCCGGAAUCAUUGGGUUUAAAGGGUCCGUAGGCGGACUAAUAAGUCAGGGGUGAAAUCCCACAGCUUAACUGUGGAACUGCCUUUGAUACUGUUAGUCUUGAGUUAUAUGGAAGUAGAUAGAAUGUGUAGUGUAGCGGUGAAAUGCUUAGAGAUUACACAGAAUACCGAUUGCGAAGGCAGUCUACUACAUAUAUACUGACGCUCAUGGACGAAAGCGUGGGGAGCGAACAGGAUUAGAAACCCUAGUAGUCC
rnacentral:rRNA from 1 species